rnacentral:misc_RNA from 1 species
GAUGAAGAACGUAGCGAAAUGCGAUAAGUAAUGUGAAUUGCAGAAUUCAGUGAAUCAUCGAAUCUUUGAACGCACAUUGCGCCCAUUAGUAUUCUAGUGGGCAUGCCUGUUCGAGCGUCAUUUCAACCCUUAAGCCUAGCUUAGUAUUGGGAAUCGACUUUACUGUCGUUCCUCAAAUUCAACGGCGGAUUUAUAGCAAUCUCUGAACGUAGUAAUUUUUUUCCUCGUUUUUGAAAUACUAUAAACCUCAGCCGCUAAACCCCCAAUUUUUUCAUGGUUGACCUCGGAUCAGGUAGGAAUACCCGCUGAACUUAAGCAUAUCAAUAAGCGGAGGA